CACGUAGGGCGCAAGCGUUGUCCGGAAUUAUUGGGCGUAAAGAGCUCGUAGGCGGUUUGUCACGUCGGAUGUGAAAACCCGAGGCUUAACCUCGGGCCUGCAUUCGAUACGGGCUGACUAGAGUUCGGUAGGGGAGACUGGAAUUCCUGGUGUAGCGGUGAAAUGCGCAGAUAUCAGGAGGAACACCGGUGGCGAAGGCGGGUCUCUGGGCCGAUACUGACGCUGAGGAGCGAAAGCGUGGGGAGCGAACAGG
rnacentral:rRNA from 1 species